UCGGGAAUUUUGGGCAAUGGGGGAAACCCUGACCCAGCAACGCCGCGUGAAGGAUGAAGUAUUUCGGUAUGUAAACUUCGAAAGAAUAGGAAGAAUAAAUGACGGUACUAUUUAUAAGGUCCGGCUAACUACGUGCCAGCAGCCGCGGUAAUACGUAGGGACCAAGCGUUGUUCGGAUUUACUGGGCGUAAAGGGCGCGUAGGCGGCAUGACAAGUCACUUGUGAACUCUCUGGGCUUAACCCAGAACGGCCAAGUGAUACUGUCGCGCUAGAGUGCAGAAGGGGCAAUCGGAAUUCUUGGUGUAGCGGUGAAAUGCGUAGAUAUCAAGAGGAACACCUGAGGUGAAGACGGGUUGCUGGGCUGACACUGACGCUGAGGCGCGAAAGCUAGGGUAGCAAACGGGAUUAGAUACCCCUGUAGUCCCUGAGCGGGCUGGCAAGGCGCAU
rnacentral:rRNA from 1 species